GGUGUGCGUGUGUAUGUGUGCUUGGGGUAAUGGUUUCGCGGGAAGGCGACGUUUCUCAGUGACGUGAGCCCUGACCUUGUUUGAACUUUUACAAAGAAGUCUGUGGGCAGUUAACAAAUAUUUGAUUUACUUCUUUAACUUAUCAGACAGAAGUACAAAGUCAUGUUUAAAAUACAUAUGAGAAUGUUCCAUUAACAAAAUUGAAACAAUGCCUCUUUUAGGCAAUAUUACCUAUGCACCUAAGAAAGGAUGAUUUAUUGACUUUAUUGAUUAAUUCAAAUGUUUUUGUCAGGAUUCUUUUAUUUUGAAUUUUUUUUUUUGUUGCUCGUAAAGUUUGAAGUGCAUUCCACUGCUUGAAAAAAAUAUAUUUGCAAACAGUCAGCGUUGCCAAGUUAGUGUCAUUAUUUUCAGCAACUUUUCCAACUGUUCUAGAGACUAAUUUAAUUUAAUUAUUGCUAAGUUGAUGGUGGAAAAAAAAAUUUCCAAUAUCAGAGGGGAAAAUAAAGAGUAAAACUUGAUUUCAUUAACAUUGACCUUUUUAUUUUGUGAUGGGGGGAAAUUUUAUUAAAAUAGGAAAUCAGUUUUUUGUAAAAAAAAAUGGAGAUGUUGUUAUGCACUUUUUUUUCUCAUCACAUAAUCUGUAUUUUAGCACCACCAAUAUGAAAGCGGUACAGUUACAAUAAUCAUUAGUAAUUCAUUUCAUUUUGUUGAAAAUAUGUCCAACAUAGGAAAUACAAUAGAUUUUAAGAUAAAUUAUUUUUAUUCUCAACAAUUAGAGAGCUUAUAUGGAGCAGGGCAAUAGUAUAUUGAAUGUGUCGGGGUGAACAUUCGGGCAUUUUAACUUCACUGAUAACAUUAGUCGCUUAUGAUACCUGCAAUCCAACUAUGUGCAACUUAAAUGUGUUUUAGUAGUGGAAAAUCAUCUUUUAUAUUGACAUUUUAUACAGUGACACAAUGAAGCUGAUUUAUUUUGCACUGUGGCAAAAGCGAACCAAAGAAACAGUUUGUUGACAGCAGUGAGAAGGAAUUUCCCUGCCAACGGGAACUGAAAGGUCUCGUUCACGUAAAGCAAACUGUUGCAAACAUUUGCGCGAGAUGCCUCUAAUUAAGAUGUGACGUGAGCCUCCAACUUCUCCAAACAACAAUAACAGCACUGUAGAUGUCAUUCAGUGGGGAGGGGAAGACUCAAUCAAACAUGGACAACUCUCUACCGUAUGUGUGUGUGGUCAAAAUGAGAAUCAUUUCGACAGAAAUCAAAACGCAUGUCUUUAGUCUGUAAUGUAAAUGGAAUGUAAACACACUCGCCCAGUGAGUAGAGUGAAUUUCAGUCCAGCCUCCACGAUAAAGAUUGUAGUGAACCGUCUGGUAUGCGUUCUCUGAGAAAGAUUGUAGUAAAGCAUGCAGAACAUGCAGAAUGUUUGUUGGGCCUUGUGAAGAGGAUGAGCGUGUCUAUUCUGUUGGGCAUAGAGCAUAGAUUUGCAAGAUGGAACAAUGGACAUGGAGUUAGAAGGCUUCAUUCAUAAAGGACGCCGACUCGCUUCAUCAUCCUCCAAAGUGUCUCGCAUCCCCUCCAAAUGCCAUGAAGUGCUUCUUUCCGCUCCUCCGAGUUUCUGAUACAACUCUUUUGGUAGGUCUCAAAGGAAUCGGCAGGGUUUUCUAAUGAAGUGUCCGGUGUGUGUUGGUGUACUCACUCGGUGGGUCGUAGGAAGAUAUGGCCAUCAUGAUGCAAGACAAACCGAAACACGAGCUGUAACCAGAGAAAGUACAUUGAAACCUCCAACGCGUGACAUCAUCUCAUGACUGCUCGGUCCGAACAUUUCCAAAUGUGUGCCAGAGACAUCUUACUGGGCUAUGUGUGACUGUACGCUGGCUUACACAAAUUAUGAAACUUGGGCAGCACACACGUGAAUAAUAUGGGAACGUGGAACAUAGUUGGACUUGUUUUUGUUUGGGUUCAUGCUUAAUAGUAGCCUUUGCCAGUCAUUUUAUUUUUCUAAUUUCCCUUUUCUGUUUGAAUUUACUCAUUCAUUUGGCUCUCUUAAGCACUCUGUACUAAAUACACACCCAAGUCUUGACGCACUGCCCCACCUACUAUAUUCACUGACUCACAAAAGACUAAAGUCCCUCCUCCCACUUUGGGAAUGCCAUCGCUCUGCUUUUUACUACUGCAGUAAGGUGUAAAGGAACAAUACUCUUACUUGGUGUUUCAUUCAUCCCACAUUCUGCUGAUUCAGAGAUAAAACAUGCAGAAACAUUUCAAUGAUUGUAUCAAUUAUCCUUCCUAAUGAAAAGACAUUGAUUUGAUAACUCCGCUCAUGUUGUCUGAUUC